rnacentral:rRNA from 1 species
UGAGGAAUAUUGGUCAAUGGGGGCAACCCUGAACCAGCCAAGUCGCGUGAAGGAUGAAGGUCUUAUGGAUUGUAAACUUCUUUUAUACAGGAAUAAAUUGGGGGACGUGUCCCCUUUUGCAUGUACUGUAUGAAUAAGGAUCGGCUAACUCCGUGCCAGCAGCCGCGGUAAUACGGAGGAUCCGAGCGUUAUCCGGAUUUAUUGGGUUUAAAGGGUGCGCAGGCGGGAUGUUAAGUCGGCGGUGAAAUUUUGCAGCUCAACUGUAAAAGUGCCUUCGAUACUGGCUUCCUUGAGUGUGGAUGAAGUAGGCGGAAUUUGUGGUGUAGCGGUGAAAUGCUUAGAUAUCACGAGGAACUCCGAUUGCGCAGGCAGCUUACUAAGCCACAACUGACGCUCGUGCACGAAGGCGUGGGGAUCAAACA